rnacentral:misc_RNA from 1 species
AAAUAAAAAAUCGAUUUUGUUACUUUAUCGUAAUAUUUCGGAAUUGAGCUACCUUAAAUUUUUAGGUUUAAGAAGCUUAAAAUUGAUCAAUUUUUGGUAUGAUUUAAGCGUGCUAAGAUUACGUUUAAUGAGUAUCGAUGUUUAUUAGGUAUGUCCAUGAUCAUGGUUUUCGUACCCAUAAUAUUUUCAUG